UUCUAGCCCCGAUUGCAGCGAAAAUCCUUUUUGGCGUUUCCGCCAAAAAGAUUGCAGAGUAAAGCGGGACCGAAA
rnacentral:sRNA from 1 species